UGCUGGACCGAUGGAGGGACGGCGUCUGGAAGGUGAGGGGACGGAUAGAAAUGUCCCUCGCCGGUGUGGAAGGUAGCUGUAGGUAAAUCCGCAGCGACAUCCGGAAGCAUCGGACAAAGACGCUUAUGUUUCGAUAGUCAUCCGAAGGACGUCCAAGAAAAGCUUCUAGGGUUGAAGGCAUGUGACCGUACUAAAACUGACACAGGUAGGCGGGACGAGAAGUCCUAGGCGCUCGGGAGAACACUGGUUAAGGAACUCUGCAAAAUGGCCCCGUAAGUCCGCGAUAAGGGGUGCCCCCUGAUGUUUAUAGCAAUGGGGGGUCACAGUAAAUCGGCAUCAGCAACUGUUUAUCAAAAACACAGGACUCUGCUAACUCGCAAGAGGAUGUAUAGAGUCUGACGCCUGCCCGGUGUUGGUAGGUUAAGGAAGAGGGUUAGCCGCAAGGUAAGCCCGCGACCGAAGCCCCAAUAAACGGCGGCCGUAACUAUGACGGUCCUAAGGUAGCGAAGUUCCUUGUCGGGUAAGUUCCGACCUGCAUGAAAGGCGUAAUGACUGAUGCACUGUCUCAACCAGUGACCCGGUGAAAUUGUAGCCGUGGUGAAGAUGCCACGUACCCGCAGUGUGACGGAAAGACCCCGUGAACCUUCACUGUAGGCUGAUAUUGGUCUCGGACGUGUUCUGUGUAGGAUAGGUGGGAGGCUUCGAAGUGGUGGCGCUAGCCAUCAUGGAGCCAACGUUGAAAUACCACCCUGGAUUCGUUUGAGUUCUAACUCUGAUUCCCGUGAAUCCGGGCAGAGGACGGUGUCAGUUGGGCAGUUUGACUGGGGCGGUCUCCUCCAAAAGAGUAACGGAGGAGUUCGAAGGUACCCUCAGCCUGGUUGGCAAUCAGGCAUCGAGCCUAAAGGUAGAAGGGUACUUGACUGCGAGACUCAUAAGUCGAGCAGAUACGAAAGUAGGACUUAGUGAUCCGGCGGUGCUGGAUGGAAAGGCCGUCGCUCAUCAGAUAAAAGGUACUCCGGGGAUAACAGGCUUAUCGCUUCCGAGCGUCCAUAGCGGCGAAGCGGUUUGGCACCUCGAUGUCGGCUCAUCACAUCCUGGGGGUGGAGAAGCUCCCAAGGGUUUGGCUGUUCGCCAAUGAAAGUGGUACGUGAGCUGGGUUCAGACCGUCGUGAGACAGGUCGGUCCCUAUCUGCCGUGGGCGCACGAAACUUGAGGGGAUUCUUCUUUAGUACGAGAGGAUUUGGAAGGACGUUCCUCUGGUGUCCCAGUUGUCGCGCUAGCGGCACGGCUGGAUAGCUAUGAACGGAACGGAUAAACGCUGAAAGCAUGUAAGCGUAAAGCCCGCCCCAAGAUCAGGUUUCGUAGGGCUGAUGCCCGAAAGUCCCCUGGAAGACGACCAGGUUGAUAGGCCGGACGUGUACGUGCAGCAAUGCACUCAGCUUACCGGUACUAACGGACGAACGCUUGACCAC
rnacentral:rRNA from 1 species